UACGAAGGGGGCUAGCGUUGUUCGGAAUCACUGGGCGUAAAGGGCGCGUAGGCGGCUUGAUAAGUCGGGGGGUGAAAGCCUGUGGCUCAACCACAGAAUUGCCUUCGAUACUGUCGAGCUUGAGACCGGAAGAGGUAAGUGGAACUGCGAGUGUAGAGGUGAAAUUCGUAGAUAUUCGCAAAGAACACCAGUGGCGAAGGCGGCUUACUGGUCCGGUUCUGGACGCUGAGGCGCGAAAGCGUGGGGAGCAAACAGG
rnacentral:rRNA from 1 species